GGCUAGUCCAAAGGGAGGGAGUUAUCUUAAUGGAGAGUUCACAAGGAGACACAGCUCAGACUCCUGUUCUUUCUCCUUGUCACUACUGCAUGACUAGUCUUAA
rnacentral:Y_RNA from 1 species